rnacentral:rRNA from 1 species
GAAUGAACGCUGGCGGCGCGCCUAAUACAUGCAAGUCGAGCGAGAAGACGUAGCAAUACGUUUGUAAAGCGGCGAACGGGUGAGGAAUACAUGGGUAACCUACCCUCGAGUGGGAAUAACUAGCCGAAAGGUUAGCUAAUACCGCGUACGCUUCUUGGACUUCGGUUCAGGGAGGAAAGCGAUGCCGAGGGUAUCGCGCUCUUGGAUGGGCUCAUGUCCUAUCAGCUUGNGGUGAGGUAACGGCUCACCAAGGCUUCGACGGGUAGCUGGUCUGAGAGGACGAUCAGCCACACUGGCACUGCGACACGGGCCAGACUCCUACGGGAGCAGCAGUAAGGAAUAUUGCGCAAUGGGCGAAAGCCUGACGCAGCGACGCCGCGUGGGGGA